rnacentral:rRNA from 1 species
CCCUUAGAUGUUCUGGGCCGCACGCGCGCUACACUGACGAUGGCAACGAGUUUUUCCUUCGCCGAAAGGUGUGGGUAAUCUUUUGAAACAUCGUCGUGCUGGGGAUAGAUCAUUGCAAUUUUUGAUCUUGAACGAGGAAUUCCUAGUAAGCGCGAGUCAUCAGCUCGCGUUGAUUACGUCCCUGCCCUUUGUACACACCGCCCGUCGCUACUACCGAUUGAAUGGUUUAGUGAGGACUCCUGAUUGGCGCCGCCGCCCCGGCAACGGAGCAGCGGACUGCCGAAAAGUUGUUCAAACUUGAUCAUUUAGAGGAAGUAAAAGUCGUAACC